rnacentral:lncRNA from 1 species
CCUUUAGUACCACUAUCCAAUUCUUAGAGGCUUAAACCAAGAUGUUUAAACUUCAGUGUCUUCUUCACGAGGUGGGUUGCCCGGGCCAGGUGGGAGUUGUGGAUUUGUAUGUGGUGGAUGUGGAUGUGGGUUUUCAUAAUCAAUUUCUGCUAGCAAUCUCUCUGAUUUCCCUAUUUAGAAAAAAGGUACAUUAAAAAUCAAAUAAAAAAUGAGAAUAAAAAUAAGUAUUUUUUUUUAUGUUUCUAAUCUUAAGAAGAAAAAUGUUCAUUACAAUUUUGAUACCAAUCAAACAAGAAGUUUUUUUGUUAACCAUGUAUUCUAUCAUCUCAAAGUAUUACUUUAGGUGAUUGAUAUAUAGAAUUUGAUCUUAUCAAUAUGUGGGGAUUCAAGCUUGACCAAAUCCUUAUUAAUAGAAAAUGAUUAUUUUAUCUUGGAGCAUGAUUGUGAAAAUAGAAGUUGGCCAUGAUUAUUUACAUGAUUAAAAUUUUGUUUUUUAACCUUAUACGAUAUUCAAAGAUCCAUUAGAUACUUGUAUUCACAACACUAAAUCUUUACUCGUAGUCAUUAAAAUUAACACAACAUAAUUAGUUACAUUGUCAAAUGAAGCUAGAAUGGAAAAUAGAAGUAAUAUCUUAAAAUUAAUGGAAAACAUAAAUAAUUAGUUUUUCUAUUUUCUGAUUUUUUCAGUGUAUGGAGUAAAAUUUCUAAAAUCUUCUUCAGUUUUUAUGAAGUCGAGCAAGGUUAUUAUUUUCUUUUUUAUUCCAUCAUUUUUUCCCUGCAUUUGUUAAAUUAAUAAAAACAAUGUAACUACCUGAAAGGUUUGAAGCACUACUUGGAUCAUGGUAAAUAGGGAGUGAAUUAGAUGUCUGUUGGAGGGCUCUUGCAUGCUCUACCGUUGCUAAAUCCCCUAUUGCACAAAACGAAAAACAUGUGCAUUAUUAAUUUUAACCAAUAUUUAUGUUAUUUUGAAUAUUUUAUCACCAAGAAAAAAAAAUUUAUGGUGGUGAUUUUAGGCAAUAAUCUAUUCUCAAUUAUUAAUUGCACUAAACUUGUAAAAUUUCAAGUAAUCAAAGCAAGUAUACCCGUAGGAAUGCAAUGUGAAAAACAAGUCAUGGCAAACACUAACAUGAAACAAAGAUAAAAAGAUGGAGAAGUC